CCGCCUCUUUCUGAGGGCUUCUAACUGCUCCCUUUAUGCAUUUUUUUUUUCUUCACACCAAAGCGACGGCACUUUAAAAACCCAUUUAAAGCAAAAAAUGUUCCACAAACGAGACUGAUGUGGCACCCGCUCCUUGCCAUUAUUUAUGCUGUGGAGAGAAAAUGACUGGCUGAGUGGAACUCAGCCUUGGCUCUCGAGAGGAUCACAGCCACGUUCCACUUGGUAAAUUACAGAAGGGCAUAUUUGCAUUUAAUAAAACGUCAUUGAUGUUGCCUCAGAGCUAAAUGAGAUAACUUUUCGUACACGCCUUAACCCCUUAAGCCCAAAGCUACCUGGAAAGGUCAUCCCAGCAUUCAGCCGGGAAGUAUGAGGUCUGAACAGGUCAAUGGAUAUGAGAAAUGAAUCAGUACUGGUAGUAGCAGUUGUAGUAUAAAGGGUCGUGGGGGGUGCUGGAGCCUAUCCCAGCUGUCAUAGGGCGAGAGGCGGGGUACACCCUGGACAGGUCGCCAGUCUGUCGCAGGGCCAACACACAGAGACAGACAACCAUUCACACUCACAUUCACUCGCACAUUCACACCUAGUGGCAAUUUGGAUUAUCCAAUUAACCUAUCCCCACAAGUUACUUUUCAAAGUAUGUUUGAUAAAAUACUCUUGGGAAAAGAGGAAGUCUGAGAGAAGAGAGAGAGAGAGAGAGGGAGAGAGAGAGAGAGAGAGAGAGAGAGAGAGAGAGAGUGUGUGUGUGUGUGUGUGUGUGUGUGUGUGUGUGUGUGUGUGUGUGUGUGUGUGUGUGUGUGUGUGUGUGUGUGUGUGUGUGUCAAACAGGAAGUCUGAAUACAGCUUGUGAGCUGGUGACAGACGUUGCAAGAUGAAAACAGAGGAAUUAGAGACUGAAUGUCUUAGAAAGUAAUAAAAUGAUAUUAAUUACAUGUUUUAGUGUGUCAAUACAGGUGGAGUCUUCUCAGCCUAAAAACAUGAGUACAGAGGCAAAAGAUUAACAGUGUAAGAUUAACAGAAUUGGGAGGAAAAAUAGGUCUGUCACGGUCUGGCUGGCAGACCGUGGGGAUGUGGGGAAGGAGGACCCAGGCGCAGAGCUCAAAGUUCAAGCAGUGCGUUUAUUCACAGUGAGGUAAUUGUACACCACACAAUAAUUCUCCAAAGUGCUCCCUCGACUCCCGUGACGUGCCUUCUCCCAAGUGCUGGUAUCCCGUGCUCUCUGCCCCUGUGCCUUCACACACCCCGUGUGUCUUGCAGUCCUGUGUUCCGCUGUCCUCCUGAGGAAAAACAGACACAGCCGUUAUGGCACCAACUCCGGCAGGCAUACACUUAACAACACUAGAGACACUGACGUGGAGUCUAACUCAACGAUCCUGCACCGGAGGAAGCUCCAUCGCUCUGUUAAGUAGCUCCCCCGACGAUCCUGAUCAAAAGCAGGUGUGUGGUAAGCUAGGCGUGACCAGCAGCUGGCAGGGCCACACCCAUCAAGCCUGCAGGUGGCUGUCCUUCAUCCUCCAGCCACACACACACACACACACACACACACACACACACACACACACACACACACACACACACACACACACACACACACACACACACGUGCACACACACCAGCAUGGAACACAAGAGCACAGUGCAGCAAACAUACAUCCAAUACACUAAUAACAAUAAAGGUCCACACUGUUCACGAACCCCGAGUCCCCGGAACCGGGUCCGUGACAAGGCCAGAUUUUGGCUUAAAAUUUUACAGCUUGACCUCCCACUUGUCCCGAUCCUGAGAAGAAGCUCAUAGGACAGUUAAUCUCCUGAUGAAGACCGACAGAACAUCGUGGACUUGAAGAAUUAACAGCAGACAAAAAGACAGUGCAACUGACGAUACCAGCAGCAGGAUGGAAGAAACCGCGUGAUGGAAAAUGCACGGUGAACUGGAGGCUGGUAAGAACAGUGUGACAUAACUGUUUAAAGGCACUGAAUGUGAUAUUUUGCCAGGCUGGGACUUAAUCUAAAAAGAAAAUACUGAAGAGAAACAGAGAAGAAACAGACUGUGUUGUUGGAGAUUUGACGGCCACACAGGACACUGUGAAGAGAGGGACAGGGACCAGUGAGAGGUGAAGCCCAGACGAGUUCGACUGCGAGAAUAGAGGGUAAAAUUGGGUUGAAAUUGAAGCCGGAACUCAGGCUGGUUUAGGGAUGUCCACGUCACAAACAAAGAGGUAAACAAAAAGAAGGUAAAAUAAAGAGAGAAAAUAACUAACAAUUACAUUAAUGAAUAGAAAACACACAUACACAAAUUGUUACAUGUGAAAUAAUUUUUGGAAAGAAUCAGAAGUGAGAUAGUUUGAAUCAGAACUCAGUGAAAAGAUGCAUGAAUUGAUGCAAGUGUGAACCACUAGACAACUCUGUCAGAGAAACAAUUCUGGCAGAAUGGAUGGCGAAACUACUAGAAAAUAGGGAUAUUGUUUUGAACAAUAAACUGCCGUGCGACGCUUCUCCAGUCUCUUGCAGGUUGAAACCAGGCGAUUGGGUUCUUAUCAAGUGUCAUUGACUACACCCACAGCCUGUAAAAUUGCAGAGAGACCAUUUUGGAUUCAUCAGAGCCACUGCAAGAAAGCAGAGCUUGAAGCCCAGACCAGCAGAGAUUCACGAGUAAGCAAAUGUUGGAGAAGACCUGCUCUCAUCACUUUCACGAGAUGACAUCAAAGAUCUGUUUCCUGGUCCUGAACAUUUCCUCAGGCGUCGGGCUCUAUGGCUUGCAGUGCACAAAUGUGAAGAACCCCAUGUACACUAUUUUAGAACAAGACUGCUGCUGAAAAAACGCUAACAACUACUGGAGAUGGUGACUUCUCCAGAGAGGAACCCAGCACUUCUAAGUUUGUGACUAUGUCCAACCCAGAGUACAUAGUCUUCACAGACAGUGAACUUGAGCAAGCUCGACAUUCUUACUUUGAAAAGAAGCGGCUGGGGACAGAGUGUGCUGAACCUUUGUCAAAGGAACUCUUUUGUCGACUCGUAAGAAACACCAUGACAAACAUGAUUUCGAUAGCAAGAGCAGCUGACGACUCCAGAUACCCCAGCAAACAUGAGGUUGAUGCCAUGGCAAAGCGAUUAAUGGAGUACUACCCAAUGCUUAAAGAAACGUGUGGUGAGUGGGAAAGACAAAAAACCUCCUGCGAAGAAGCCAAGAAAGGAUGGGAAUGAAAGCGUUGCAAAAAGUGACAGCAGUGGGGAGUCCAGUGCAUCAACUAUUAUUCUAGAUAAAUCACCAGUUAGAUCGAUGGGCACCCCAGUGCACCACCAGGAUGGCAGUGAUGAAGAAUCUGGUUCAGCUGACUUCUUUGACAGCCAAAAGACCCAGGCAAGACACUACAAUACACUUCAAGAAAUAUACAAGCCCAAAAAACCAAACAAAGCUGCUGUUACCCAACUGCUGAACCUGGAGUUUGAGUCUAGAAGACAAUUCAUUAACUCUGAUGCUAUAAAGGAGCAGGACAGAGCAGUGAAGAUACUAGAGGCAUAUCCUUGUUUCAGAGAACUGGAUCAUGUCCUUGAUGAGCUGCGGAGAAUUAUUCAACCAUCCAACUUGAAAUACAUUUCUGAGAUGAAGGAUAGAUGGGAAAUCUUCUACUCGAAGGUGCAGUUUUAUGGUGUCAUGAAGAAAGUUAUGAAGCCGCCAAAAACUUUGGAUGGAGUGGAACAUGCAGCAGCUGUGUUCAGAGCCCUUCCCGUGCUUUUCCCUUCCAGCACAGUACCACCUAAGAAGCUGGGCAUCUGUAGUGAGGCUUUUUUCCAUGUCCUAAAGACUUCAGAAGACCCUGAAGGCUACCUGCGUCAGCGACCCCUGGCUUGUCCAGUUCUGCUUGUCUCUGAAGGCAACUGCAUGAUAGCUGUUGGAACCACACCGGUGAGCACUUUUGACCGGAAGGAUCUUAAUGAGGGACUGCUCUAUCUGAUGGCAUAUUACUAUGCCCUCCACCUCACAUAUCCAAAGUGCAUUUCCACGCUGCUGUCUGUCUUGCAAACUGAAAUACUCAAAGACUCCAUCCAUGACCGAGAUUCAACCCCCUCUUACAAGAAGGCGCUUGGUGAGUGGAAGUCAUUCAUUGAGUGAGUCUCUCAGAUGACAGACUCCAUCUGCCUUGUUUAUCAGACUCAGUGUUAGUCAGUGAGGUUGUUUUUUUUCUUUAGAAAAGUUGUUCAAAUGUAAAACACAUGUUUGUUUGUGUGGUCGUUCAACUUGUUCUUCUAAAAUGUUAUGUAAUAUAGGAUUUGAAAUAGUGAUUGUUUUAAGCUUCAGCAAAAUUUAUUUUUGAUACCAGCCAUGAGUGUGUUAUACUGUUAUUAUUCAUGUUAAGAGUAUCUGGAAUAUGCACUUCUUAUAUUGGCCAUGUUACACAGUACCCUGUUGAAAUGUAUAAUUUUAGACAUGAUUCUCCUGGAACAGACCUCAGUGAGUUACUGACCCAUUGCUGUGUCAAUAAAAGCGCAAAAUCUAA
ensembl:lncRNA